GCUGGGCACAGUGGCACAUGCCUGUAAUCCCAGCUAUUUCGGAGGCUGAGGCAGAAAGAUCACAAGUUCAAAGCCAGCCCUGUGCAAUUUAGUAAGAUUCUGUCUCAA
rnacentral:sRNA from 1 species